GCAUGGAAGAGGAAGUAAAGAUGAUCUAAGAGCAGUGGGCAUGGGAACAUGGAGGAAGGCCUAUGAGGUUGAAACCUCAUUUUGUGUCUUCCUAAUGCCUCCCAUUCCUAUCGUUCUUAGGUGAUCCUUCCUCUUGCUUUAGGCU
rfam:Zea mays cultivar B73 chromosome 10, whole genome shotgun sequence.